rnacentral:rRNA from 1 species
UACGUAGGGGCUAGCGUUGUCCGGAAUUAUUGGGCGUAAAGAGCGCGCAGGUGGUUGAUUAAGUCUGAUGUGAAAGCCCACGGCUCAACCGUGGAAGGUCAUUGGAAACUGGGGAACUUGAGUGCAGAAGAGGAGAGUGGAAUUCCAUGUGUAGCGGUGAAAUGCGUAGAUAUAUGGAGGAACACCAGUGGCGAAGGCGACUCUCUGGACUGUAACUGAUGCUGAGGCACGAAAGCGUGGGGAGCAAACAGGAUUA